ACCAUGUGUGGAACGUUGCUUCUGUUUGCCAGGGCUGUGAGAAAACGUCGUUACCAGAGAGGUGUGGAUGCCAAAGCAAACUAUGGAGGUGCUUUUUGUCGUUACCGAAGAGGUCUGGACGCUAAAACAAACUCUGGAGCUGUGUUUUUUUGUCGAACAUGAGUGAAACUGGAUGCUGAACACAACUGCGGCGCUAAGAUGUCACCACUUCGUUCACAAUCACAGAGUCUUCGUACAAUAAAGUUCUUUGAAACCAGGGCUGAGGCCUCCAGGAUUCAAACUUCAAACAUUAAAUCAUAGAGAGAAGAGACAGAUGUGAAGACAUUUCCAGAAGGUCUUCAGCUGCUGUCGUCUUCUCUUCCUGCAGAGACAAGAACAUGCGUUGAUCACAGAAACUGAGCGGUAAAUCUAAAAUAUUUUAGGACAUUUUUUGAUGUUUUUAUGCCUUGCUAUAUUAUGACAUGCUGCUUAAGACGAAGGAACUAGCUUACCUUUGUUUUCCACAGACACGUUUGUGGGUCAGGUUAAAUAAGUUAGUCAUUUUGGUAUUUUGCUAACUCAAACUGCAAUGUUGUGUACAUAUUAUCUUGUACAUAUAAUGCCCGUUUCUAUUUUUGCUAUUGCAACAGUGAAAUAAAUGCAUCUGAACUAAUAUUUUGCUGAUCUCUUUAUGGAUGCAUGUAUUCUAUGAAGAGUUUUUAGCCUCAGUUAGAAAUUUUAAUUGAAUGCUGCAAGUAGACAAUAUUUUGUCAUCUCUACUUUACAAAAGAGUUGAAUUUUUUCUACUUUCGAAUUCAACUCAAAAGUUAUACUAUGACAUUUUCUGACGAUUUCUGAAGCCUUACUAGGACAUUUUUUGAUGGUUUCUAAAGCCUUAUUAUACCAUGACAUUUUUUGAGAAUU